GCUUCCAUAGCUCAGCCGGUCAGAGCGUCGUGCUAAUAACGCGAAGGCCGUGGGUUCGAUCCCCACUGGAAGCA
rfam:Pseudoloma neurophilia strain MK1 NODE_11936, whole genome shotgun sequence.